GCGGCGGUGGUGGCUGCGGCGGUGGCGGCGGCGCAGGCAGGGUCGGGCGCUCAGGGGAACUCGGCUCCGCGAGGCUUCCGAGAGUGGGGAAGCUGUUCUUCUCCUUUGAUGCUCUUUGGUUUUACAGUGGAAAACUAAAAUUAAAAAAAAAAAAAAAAAAAAAAACAUAGCCAUGAAAAUAAAUGAGACUAGAACCUGCCGGCUUCACGUCCUGGAGGCUUUUUGUUGUGUCUUGAAACUAGGAUCUUUGCGGGUCAUCCCUGCUUUGAUCAAGAUCAACCACUCAUUUCCAAAAUUCAGAAGCUUCCACAACAAGAGGUGGACCAUUUGGAAACACAGCGGAAGAGACUUCCAAAAUGAAUAAAUAUCUCCUGUUGUUUGAAAAGGGAACCUUCUAACGGAUGAAGAAACUGCCCAAGCAGGUAUUCUGAGUCACUGGGUGAUUCUCGACAUGUCGUUCGAACUUUCUCCAGCCUUAAGUGAAGUUAAUGUUUUUCCUUCCACUGACUCGUGAUGGUGCCUUGGAGACAGAAGAAAUGAAUGUUAAAAAUCCCAGUGCAAAUUUCUAAAAUGCCACAGGAAAAAUCA